UACGUAGGGGGCUAGCGUUGUCUGGAAUCAUUGGGCGUAAAGAGCGUGUAGGCGGUCCGGUAAGUCCGCUGUGAAAGUCGGGGGCUCAACCCUCGAAUGCCGGUGGAUACUGUCGGGCUAGAGUGCGGAAGAGGCGAGUGGAAUUCCUGGUGUAGCGGUGAAAUGCGCAGAUAUCAGGAGGAACACCUAUUGCGAAGGCGACUACCUGGCCUGUUCUUGACGCUGAGGCGCGAAAGCUAGGGGAGCAAACGGG
rnacentral:rRNA from 1 species